rnacentral:lncRNA from 1 species
GCUGGUGGACUUUGUAAUAGUGUAUCGUUACAGUUAUCUGUUUAUAGCUAUUACAUUUUUAAAGAUUAUUUACACCGUCCUCCGUUGACCAAUUGAUGAUAACAUAAAUCAAGCUUGUCUCUUUUAAAAUAACAAAAAAUGGAUAAAGACAGCUUUGCGUAGGGGGUUAAUUCAUGUGAUAUAAUUUUGGUAAGUUUACAGAAAUAGAAGGUCCAUAAUGCAUUAAUCGAGUAAAAAUGGAACAGUUUCAGAAAACUUUAAUGAUUGGUUUAGGAGGUGUUGGAAAUACCUGAUGGGUGCCCCCGUAUAAUGCAAUGUUCAAGUCCGUAUCUUAUAUAAAGUUACCCCAUAAAAGAUUUUUACUAAAAUUCGAAAUAGACGGUACACAAUACAGUCAUUAAACGGGAAACUCCACACUAAAAUUUACGACAAAAGAG